rnacentral:rRNA from 1 species
UGGGGAAUAUUGCACAAUGGGGGAAACCCUGAUGCAGCGACGCCGCGUGAGCGAAGAAGUAUUUCGGUAUGUAAAGCUCUAUCAGCAGGGAAGAAGAAUGACGGUACCUGACUAAGAAGCUCCGGCUAAAUACGUGCCAGCAGCCGCGGUAAUACGUAUGGAGCAAGCGUUAUCCGGAUUUACUGGGUGUAAAGGGAGCGUAGGCGGUGCUAUAAGUCUGAUGUGAAAGCCCGGGGCUCAACCGCGGGACUGCAUUGGAAACUGUAGGACUGGAGUGUCGGAGGGGUAAGUGGAAUUCCUAGUGUAGCGGUGAAAUGCGUAGAUAUUAGGAGGAACACCGGUGGCGAAGGCGGCUUACUGGACGACAACUGACGCUGAGGCUCGAAAGCGUGGGGAGCAAACA